GUGUCAGCAGCCGCGGUAAGACAGAGGGUGCAAACGUUGUUCGGAAUUACUGGGCGUAAAGCGCGUGUAGGCGGCAAGGCAAGUCGGGUGUGAAAGCCCUGGGCUCAACCCAGGAAGUGCAUUCGAUACUGCCCAGCUAGAGUCCCGGAGAGGAUGGUGGAACUCUCGGUGUAGAGGUGAAAUUCGUAGAUAUCGAGAAGAACACCGGUGGCGAAGGCGGCCAUCUGGACGGUGACUGACGCUGAGACGCGAAAGCGUGGGGAGCAAACAGGAUUAGAAACCCUCGUAGUCC
rnacentral:rRNA from 1 species